rnacentral:rRNA from 1 species
AUUGAACGCUGGCGGCAUGCCUAACACAUGCAAGUCGAACGAGUGGCGGACGGGUGAGUAAUGUCUGGGCAACUGCCUGAUGGAGGGGGAUAACUACUGGAAACGGUAGAUAAUACCGCAUACCAUCGGAUGUGCCCAGAUGGGAUUAGCUAGUAGGGGGGGUAAAGGCUCACCUAGGCGACGAUCCCCAGCUGGUCUGAGAGGAUGACCGGCAAAACUGGAACUGAGACACGGUCCAGACUCCUACGGGAGGAAGCAGGGGGGAAUAUUGGACAAGGGGCGAAAGCCUGAUGCAGACAGGCCGCGUGUAUGAAGAAGGCCUUCGGUUGGUAAAGUACUGUCAGCGGGGAGGCGGUACCCGCAGAGGAAGCACCGGCUAACUCCGUGCCAGCAGCCGCGGUAAUUC